AUGGCAUGAUGAGGACAUUUCCUUCAUAACUCCUUAAAUCUCUCCCAAGUUUCAUUGAUUGACUCACUAUCUAUGGGUGAAUGAGGUGAUGUCAUGUCAAAUUUU